rnacentral:rRNA from 1 species
AUUGAACGCUGGCGGCAGGCCUAACACAUGCAAGUCGAGCGGAUGAAGGGAGCUUGCUCCUGGAUUCAGCGGCGGACGGGUGAGUAAUGCCUAGGAAUCGGCCUGGUAGCGGGGGAUAACGUCCGGAAACGGGCGCUAAUACCGCAUACGUCCUGAGGGAGAAAGUGGGGGAUCUUCGGACCUCACGCUAUCAGAUGAGCCUAGGUCGGAUUAGCUAGUUGGUGGGGUAAAGGCCUACCAAGGCGACGAUCCGUAACUGGUCUGAGAGGAUGAUCAGUCACACUGUAACUGAGACACGGUCCAGACUCCUACGGGAGGCAGCAGUGGGGAAUAUUGGACAAUGGGCGAGAGCCUGAUCCAGCCAUGCCGCGUGUGUGAAGAAGGUCUUCGGAUUGUAAAGCACUUUAAGUUGGGAGGAAGGGCAGUAAGUUAAUACCUUGCUGUUUUGACGUUACCAACAGAAUAAGCACCGGCUAACUUCGUG